rnacentral:rRNA from 1 species
GGCGAACUCUGUGGCAGCAGCCGCGGUUAUAAGGGGGGUGCGAGCGUUAAUCGGAUUUACUGGGCGUAAAGCGUGCGUAGGCGGCUGAUUAAGUCGGAUGUGAAAUCCCUGAGCUUAACUUAGGAAUUGCAUUCGAUACUGGUCAGCUAGAGUAUGGGAGAGGAUGGUAGAAUUCCAGGUGUAGCGGUGAAAUGCGUAGAGAUCUGGAGGAAUACCGAUGGCGAAGGCAGCCAUCUGGCCUAAUACUGACGCUGAGGUACGAAAGCAUGGGGAGCAAACAGGAUUAGAUACCCGGGAGUC